rnacentral:lncRNA from 1 species
GAGCCGGAGUGAACUUCAAGUCGCGUGUUUGCAUGAGUUUUUUGAAGUGCUGUUGGGGCUGGGGCUGCGUGAUCGUCACUGGCGUCCUCCAGAGUGCCCACCGAUCAGAAAGUCGUACGAACCGCAAGCUUUGAACGUCUGUUUAUCGCACCCUCGAAAGCGGCGGCACAGAAGGCGCGAUGUGAGCUCCGGUGGCAACAUCAGCCCUUUGUCUCGUAACGGUGCCGUCCAGACUGGCCAUGAGACCAGCGAAUUUGCUGUAGAAACAGCCAUCUGGGAGUGGCUGCGUCACGCUCCUGCCAGGCACAGAACUGCCAUUGCCAAGGACUGUGCCACUGAACAGCCCGGAUAUGUGUGACAUGGUUCGCUCGGCCUGUUGCACCUUUACCUAUCACCCGCAGCAUCUAGCUGCCAGAGUGACCUUGCUUUCUUCAGCGCUGUGCCACUGAACAGCCCGGACAUGUGUGACAUGGUCUCCUAGGCCUGCGGUACUUUCGCCGAUUACCCGUGGCGUCGAGCUCCAGUGUGCCGAGUUGUCCAAUACUGCCAAGUGCUUUAUGAUGCCACCAAUGUGCCAAAUGCUCUAGUACUGUUAUGUGCUUCGCCACUCUGCCUUGCGCUCUCCACAUCUCCAGUAUAUAAAGUGUCCCAUCGCGUCUCCAUUUGUGAAGUGCAUUACCAAGUCACCAAGUGCUCCAGUACUGUGUUAUGUGCUCCGCUGCUUUGCCGAGUGCUCUCCGUUUCUACAGUAUACCAAGUGCCCCAUUGCAUCUCCAUUUUACCGAGUGCUCCAAUAUUGUCAAAUGCUUGACCAGGUCUGGAAUGUGCCAUGUGCUCCACUGCUGUGCCAAGUGUAUACUUUGUAAAUGAUAUACAUGCCUUAAGUUCAACCAAUAGCUCUAC